rnacentral:tRNA from 1 species
GUCAGGAUGGUGUAGUUGGUUAUCACAUGCGCCUCACACGCGCAAGGUCUCCGGUUCGAUCCCGGAUCUUGACA